AACGAACGCUGGCGGCAGGCCUAACACAUGCAAGUCGAGCGAGAUCUUCGGGUCUAGCGGCGGACGGGUGAGUAACGCGUGGGAAUAUGCCCUUCUCUGCGGAAUAGCCUCGGGAAACUGAGCGUAAUACCGCAUACGCCCCUUGGGGGAAAGAUUUAUCGGAGAAGGAUUAGCCCGCGUUGGAUUAGGUAGUUGGUGGGGUAACGGCCUACCAAGCCGACGAUCCAUAGCUGGUUUGAGAGGAUGAUCAGCCACACUGGGACUGAGACACGGCCCAGACUCCUACGGGAGGCAGCAGUGGGGAAUCUUAGACAAUGGGGGCAAUCCUGAUCUAGCCAUGCCGCGUGAGUGAUGAAGGCCUUAGGGUUGUAAAGCUCUUUCAGCUGGGAAGAUAAUGACGGUACCAGCAGAAGAAGCCCCGGCUAACUCCGUG
rnacentral:rRNA from 1 species